AUUGAACGCUGGCGGCAUGCUUUACACAUGCAAGUCGAACGGUAACAGGCCGCAAGGUGCUGACGAGUGGCGCACGGGUGAGUAAUGCAUCGGAACGUGCCCAGUCGUGGGGGAUAACUACUCGAAAGAGUAGCUAAUACCGCAUACGAUCUAUGGAUGAAAGCGGGGGACCGUAAGGCCUCGCGCGAUUGGAGCGGCCGAUGUCAGAUUAGGUAGUUGGUGGGGUAAAGGCUCACCAAGCCAACGAUCUGUAGCUGGUCUGAGAGGACGACCAGCCACACUGGGACUGAGACACGGCCCAGACUCCUACGGGAGGCAGCAGUGGGGAAUUUUGGACAAAGGGCGCAAGUCUGAUCCAGCAAUGCCGCGUGCAGGAAGAAGGCCUUCGGGUUGUAAACUGCUUUUGUACGGAACGAAACGGCUCUGGUUAAUACCCGGGGCUAAUGACGGUACCGUAAGAAUAAGCACCGGCUAACUACGUG
rnacentral:rRNA from 1 species